GAUGAACGCUAGCGGCAGGCUUAAUACAUGCAAGUCGAGGGGCAUCAAGGUACACGAAAGUGUAUUGUUGGCGACCGGCGGACGGGUGAGUAAUAGGUAGGUAACCUACCUCAUACUGAGGCAUAGCUGGGAGAAAUUCCAGGUAAUUCCUCAUGAGGUUAUAUGACACAUGUGAUAUAAUCAAAGGUAUCGCAAGGUACUGGUAUGAGAUGGGCUUACUGACCAUUAGCUAGUUGGUGAGAUAAGAGCUCACCAAGGCGAAGAUGGUUAGGGGUUUUAGAGAGAGAUCCCCCACAUUGGAACUGAGAUACGGUCCAGACUCCUACGGGAGGCAGCAGUAGGGAAUAUUGGGCAAUGGCGGAAGCCUGACCCAGCCAUGCCGCGUGAAGGAAGACGGCCUUAUGGGUGUAAACUUCUUUACUAUGCGACUAAACUAGUAAUUUACGAGUAUAAUUCUAAUAGAAUGUAGCAUAGACAAAAAGCACCGGA
rnacentral:rRNA from 1 species